CCAGACUCCUACGGGAGGCAGCAGUGGGGGAUAUUGCACAAUGGGGGGAACCCUGAUGCAGCAACGCCGCGUGAGUGAAGAAGUCAUUCGUGAUGUAAAGCUCUAUCAGCAGGGAAGAAAAUGACGGUACCUGAGUAAGAAGCCCCGGCUGACUACGUGCCAGCAGCCGCGGUAAUACGUAGGGGGCAAGCGUUAUCCGGAUUUACUGGGUGUAAAGGGAGCGUAGACGGCGAUGCAAGUCUGAAGUGAAAGGCGGGGGCCCAACCCCCGGACUGCUUUGGAAACUGUAUAGCUGGAGUGCAGGAGAGGUAAGUGGAAUUCCUAGUGUAGCGGUGAAAUGCGUAGAUAUUAGGAGGAACACCAGUGGCGAAGGCGGCUUACUGGACUGUAACUGACGUUGAGGCUCGAAAGCGUGGGGAGCAAACAGGAUUAGAUACCCGUGUACUC
rnacentral:rRNA from 1 species